rfam:Trypanosoma theileri isolate Edinburgh TM35_Tth_1_V1, whole genome shotgun sequence.
CCUUCUGUAGCUCAAUUGGUAGAGCAUGUGACUGUAGAUAUUAAGCAGGUAUCACAGGGUCGCUGGUUCGAUUCCGGCCGGAAGGA